rnacentral:lncRNA from 1 species
AGAUACCCCAGCCCCACUAGUGUGCUGACAAAUGUUCAACAGUUGCUUAACGAUGAUUUCUCUGAAAACAACAACAAAUGAAUGAAUAGAACCUCCCAAGCCCCAAGCCCUGAUUCUUAGCAUUUGCUGACUUUGGAGGUAGAAAUGCUUCUCGGCCAUGGCUGAUUUCUAGCUUGCGAAAUCCCUGACAGCUGUCUGCUCUCCUGAGUUGCAUAAGCUGCUCCGCCCAGCCCAUCCCCACCAUGGGGGCCCCUCCUCUCCUGCACCUGGUGGUUCAGAGCCAGGCCUCUGCAGGUCCUGCCAGCAGCUCCAAUUGCAGGACAAGGUGCUUCCCUGGCCUGCACUCUACUGCCCAGGAGCCCAGCCCUUCCCAGGCCCUCGUCAGCUCUGAACCAAGGUGGCGGCGUGGAGGAGGACAGCUGGAAAGACGGCUGUGACAGACCGGCAAAGGUGAGAAGGCAGAGGCCCCAGGCAAGUGGACAGCCUGCAGGUGGAAGGCAGUUCACAGACGGCUGGGCGUGUGCUGUGGGGUCUGCGCAGUCCUGCUGUCCAUCCCAAAGACACACCCCAGGCCUGGUCAUUGGAGUCCACCGCCCUGGCACAGCUGCCGAGGAACCUAGUGAUCAGGCAACCACUCUUUGUGGCUCUCCUUUUGAGACAGGGAAAAAACAGGUAGGCAGUGUAGGUGAGAAUGAGAGGUCUGGUAGAGAGAAGAGGCUAGGACUGCUCUCCAGGUCAGCAGUCAGCAGGGGAAAUAAGGAGGGUCUCCAAGAGGACGACUGUUUUUCAAAGAAAGAACAAAAGGUUGCUGGUGGUGAUUUUUCAAGAAAAAUCAAACACUUCCACGUUCCUGUUCUCAGGCACAUAUGUAUAGGGAAGAAAGGAAAGUGAGGGUUAAGGAGAGAAGAUCUGGGGGCUGUGGGAAGGCCAGUG